GAUGAACGCUGGCGGCGUGCCUAAUACAUGCAAGUAGAACGCUGAAGCUUGGUGCUUGCACCGAGCGGAAGAGUUGCGAACGGGUGAGUAACGCGUAGGUAACCUGCCUCUUAGCGGGGGAUAACUAUUGGAAACGAUAGCUAAUACCGCAUAAAAGUCGGCAUUGCAUGAUGUUGACUUGAAAGGUGCAACUGCAUCACUAAGAGAUGGACCUGCGUUGUAUUAGCUAGUUGGUGAGGUAACGGCUCACCAAGGCGACGAUACAUAGCCGACCUGAGAGGGUGACCGGCCACACUGGGACUGAGACACGGCCCAGACUCCUACGGGAGGCAGCAGUAGGGAAUCUUCGGCAAUGGACGGAAGUCUGACCGAGCAACGCCGCGUGAGUGAAGAAGGUUUUCGGAUCGUAAAGCUCUGUUGUAAGAGAAGAACGAGUGUGAGAGUGGAAAGUUCACACUGUGACGGUAACUUACCAGAAAGGGACGGCUAACUACGUGCCAGCAGCCGCGGUAAUACGUAGGUCCCGAGCGUUAUCCGGAUUUAUUGGGCGUAAAGCGAGCGCAGGCGGUUAGAUAAGUCUGAAGUUAAAGGCUGUGGCUUAACCAUAGUACGCUUUGGAAACUGUUUAACUUGAGUGCAGAAGGGGAAAGUGGAAUUCCAUGUGUAGCGGUGAAAUGCGUAGAUAUAUGGAGGAACACCGGUGGCGAAAGCGGCUCUCUGGUCUGUAACUGACGCUGAGGCUCGAAAGCGUGGGGAGCAAACAGG
rnacentral:rRNA from 1 species